GUCAUCAACGAUGAUGAGGUGGUUGCUCACCUACUUAAUGGUUUAGAUUAUGAUUAUCACCCCUUUGUUUCCUCUAUGAUGGGCCGGUCAGGAGAUCUUUCACUUUCUGAAUUAUAUUCGCUACUUAUGGAGUACGAUC
rfam:Setaria italica strain Yugu1 chromosome V, whole genome shotgun sequence.